GUACUCCCAUUUAAUUCCGGUUGAUCCUGCCGGAGGCCACUGCUAUGGGGGUCCGACUAAGCCAUGCGAGUCAAGGGGGUGUCCCUUCUGGGACACCACCGGCGGACGGCUCAGUAACACGUCGGUAACCUACCCUCGGGAGGGGGAUAACCCCGGGAAACUGGGGCUAAUUCCCCAUAGGUGUGGGGUACUGGAAGGUCCCCACACCGAAAGGGUCGUUAGACCGCCCGAGGAUGGGCCGGCGGCCGAUUAGGUAGUUGGUGGGGUAACGGCCCACCAAGCCUACGAUCGGUACGGGCCUUGAGAGAGGGAGCCCGGAGAUGGGG
rnacentral:rRNA from 1 species